AUUGAACGCUGGCGGCAGGCCUAACACAUGCAAGUCGAACGAGUGGCGGACGGGUGAGUAAUGUCUGGGAAACUGCCCGAUGGAGGGGGAUAACUACUGGAAACGGUAGCUAAUACCGCAUACCAUCGGAUGUGCCCAAAUGGGAUUAGCUUGUAGGUGAGGUAACGGCUCACCUAGGCGACGAUCCCUAGCUGGUCUGAGAGGGUGAACAGCCCGACUGGAACUGAGCGACGGGCCAGACUACUACGGGAGGCAGCAGUGGGGAAUAUUGGACGAUGGGCGCAAGCCUGAUGCAGCCAUGCCGCGUGUAUGAAGAAGGCCGGCGGGUUGUAAAGUACUGUCAGCGGGGAGGCGUUACCCGCAGAAGAAGCACCGGCUAACUCCGUGCCAGCAGCCGCGGUAAUAC
rnacentral:rRNA from 1 species